GGGCGUGUGGUCUAGUGGUAUGAUACCCGCUUUGGGAUUUUCAAAAUUCUAAAAUAUGCGGGUGGCCCGGGGUUCAAUUCCCCGCUCGCCCC
rfam:Naumovozyma dairenensis CBS 421 chromosome 5, complete genome